AGACACUGAAUUUUUGAUUUAUUUGGAUUCUCUAAGGUUCAGGUCUUUGCUGCUGCAUCACACAUGUUGCUGUCCACUCUGUGUCACAGAAUUGAGAAACGUGUCUGUUUUUGUUAGAGUUGCAGUGUUGUUAGUUCAGAACUUCCAGGGUGCUGCCAGCCUGUCUUGACUUGUACAUGGCUGUAAUCCACCAUGUGUAUCCACCAGCUGCGCUAAAUAGCCCAGACUUGGGGAAUUACAGCCCAGCCAAGAAAGAAAUCCCACCAUAUCUGCAGUAUUGGUGAAUUUGGUCAGUGUUUAUUUCAGUUGAUAAUUGAUCUUAUUUCAGGUGCUGUGUCUCAAUUCCUAGAAGGUGCAGGUGCUAACAAAAAUGACAUAAUUAGCCUUAAAUAGCCCUAUUUUUGCCCAGUAAAUGUCCCAGUCCUCAAAUCUGGCUCACAUUAUGAGCACCUGAUGCAUCUUGGUUCCUUGCUGGCACUUAAGUAUGUGCUGCCAUUUAAUUCCCCCAAGAGCUCCAAAUGUGUUACUUUGCUUCCCUUUCUCUCCUCUUCCUUCUUCUAGAUACAGCUGGGACAACAUUUCACUUUCAGGAAGUGUAGACCUUCUUGGCCCUAAGUUUCCGAUAGGAUUCUACGUUUUCCUCCUGCCCAGCGUUUCCAAGGUGCUUCCACAGCUCUGUCCUCUCUGUCUGGAAAGCUGAGUUCCUGCCGUGCACUCUUUGCCAAAAACACGCUUGGAGCAGCCAGCAGUUGGAGCCUUCUUCAUUCAUUAGUGCACCCAGUGGCUUAUUUCACCUUCCUGAAGCCUUGUACCUAAGCCUGUCCAGUGUUUUGAGGAAUGCAAAAAUAUAAAUAUAUUUGUCAAUUGAAAUGCACUGUGAUUAAGAGAGAUUUCCUUCCUGAUCCUGAAAAUUAACAGUACAUGUUGUAAAGCACUAGCACAAUUAGAAAUAUUACCUAUGGUUGUAAAAUUAGGCUGUUUUUUUAAAGAUCUAGUCAGCGGGUGACAGUGACCUGCAGCCGUGAGUGCCAGAGUUCACCUGUGUGACUGGAAGCAGUGGUGUCUUUAUUUACUCUGUUAUUAGGCCUUAAUUUCACAAGUAGCUUUUUUGGCCUCUAAUUGAAAUAGGAAACGAUUGCUUUAAUAUAUAUAUUUACUAGUAUUAGAAUCUUUAAUUG
rnacentral:lncRNA from 1 species